ACCUUUUUAAGCUCAGUCAAUAGAGCAUGAGAUUCUUAAUCUCGGGGUAGUGGGUUUGAGCCCCACAUUGGGCA